AUUUAUCGGAGAGUUUGAUCCUGGCUCAGGACGAACGCUGGCGGCGUGCCUAAUACAUGCAAGUCGAGCGGACAGAUGGGAGCUUGCUCCCUGAUGUUAGCGGCGGACGGGUGAGUAACACGUGGGUAACCUGCCUGUAAGACUGGGAUAACUCCGGGAAACCGGGGCUAAUACCGGAUACUUGUUUGAACCGCAUGGUUCAAACAUAAAAGGUGGCUUCGGCUACCACUUACAGAUGGACCCGCGGCGCAUUAGCUAGUUGGUGAGGUAAUGGCUCACCAAGGCAACGAUGCGUAGCCGACCUGAGAGGGUGAUCGGCCACACUGGGACUGAGACACGGCCCAGACUCCUACGGGAGGCAGCAGUAGGGAAUCUUCCGCAA
rnacentral:rRNA from 1 species